UCCGGUUGAUCCUGCCGGACCCGAUCGCUAUCGGGGUAGGGCUAAGCCAUGGGAGUCGUACAUCCCGCAAGGGGUGUGGCGGACUGCUGAGUAACACGUGGUCAACCUAACCUAGGGAAGGGAAUAACCCCGGGAAACUGGGGAUAAUUCCCUAUAGCUGAGGAGUCCUGGAACGGUUCCUCGGCGAAAGCCCGCAAGGGCGCCCUAGGAUGGGACUGCGGCCCAUCAGGUAGUUGGGGGGUUAAAGGCCCUCCAAGCCGAUAACGGGUAGGGGCCCUGGGAGGGGGAGCCCCCAGAUGGGCACUGAGACAAUGGCCCAGGUCCUACGGGGCGCACCAGGCGCGCAACGUCUUCAAUGCACGAAAGUGUGAAAGCGCUACCCCGAGUGCCCCUUUGGGGCUUUUCUACGCUCUAAAAAGGCGUGGGAAUAAGCGGAGGGCAAGACUGGUGUCAGCCGCCGCGGUAAUACCAGCUCCGCGAGUGAUCGGGACUCUUAUUGGGCCUAAAGCGCCCGUAGCCGGCUCUGUAAGUCACUGCUUAAAGACCCGAGCUCAACUCGGGGAAGGGUAGUGAUACUACAGAGCUAGGGGGCGGGAGAGGUCGGGGGUACUCCUAGAGUAGGGGCGAAAUCCGUAGAUCCUAGGAGGACCACCAGUGGCGGAGGCGCCCGGCUAGAACGCGCCAGACGGUGAGGGGCGAAAGCUGGGGUAGCAAAAGGGAUUAGAUACCCCUGUAGUCCCAGCUGUAAACGAUGCGGGCUAGGUGUCACGUGAGCUUAGAGCCCACGUGGUGCCGCAGGGAAGCCUUUAAGCCCGCCGCCUGGGGAAUACGGCCGCAAGGCUGAAACUUAAAGGAAUUGGCGGGGGAGCACCACAAGGGGUGGAACCUGCGGCUCAAUUGGAGUCAACGCCUGGAAUCUUACCGGGGGAGACCGCAGAAUGACGGCCAGGCUGAUGACCUUGCCAGACUCGCGGAGAGGAGGUGCAUGGCCGUCGCCAGCUCGUGUUGUGAAAUGUCCUGUUAAGUCAGGCAACGAGCGAGACCUCUACUCCUAGUUGGUAUCUGGGCCUCCGGGCUUGGACCACACUAGGAGGACU
rnacentral:rRNA from 1 species